CGAAUCUGUUUGUUCUUGCCAACUGCUGCAUUAAUGCCGUCGUCCACUAGGAAAUAUAGCUACAGAGGCAAGUUCCUCGAGUAGGGACCUUUACAGACCAAAAGAAUAAGGGCUUGGAGGAGAAGUUCCACCAUCUAUGAGAAAAAGUGGUCGAUAAAAAUGUCUGAAGUAAGACUUAAAUAAAAAUAAGGGCCAACUCUCUGAUAAACAGCAACAUCGAGAAGACAAUGACCAAGGGUAGCAACCGAAGCCAACACAGUCACAAGAAGAGCCCAAAGGGAAAUAAUGGAGAUUUGUAUACUGAUUGAGUAGAGGGUGGCGACCUUCACAAGAAUGAGCCGUGCCACGUAGGCUACCAGACCUACUUGCCGGAUUUGGACAAAAAAGAGCAUUGACCUCCCAAAACACAGGUACUUAGAAAGAAAACCGUUAAUUCUGACCGAAGAUCAACUAACUAUGAGUCUUGCAUAUGUUGCAAAACCAAAAAACAAUUUGCAAGCAAUAAUCACAAAUACAUACAAAGCAACACAAGCAAACAAAUGGAAAGGAAAACAACUUUUUCACUUAAAUAUCAAAAAUUUUAUUUAAAUAUAAUUUUGUCUGGAAAUAAGUGAGGAGAACCCAAUCUUCAAAUUGGGAGAGGAAUGUCCCCUGUCUAGAUGGAACAGGAAAUGAAUGAAAGACUGACAACAAAAUACCACAUGAUGCCACAGAAAACUGAGAGAAAUGAAAGAAAAGAGAGCAUAUUUUUUAUUUCCUUCACUAAAUACAUAAAUGCAGAUGUGAAUAUGUGCUUAAAAAUUUCUUAAUGAUCAAAAUUAGAUUCACCUUCUCAAAAUACCUUAAAAAAAAGAGAGAACAAAUAUGAUUUAUUUUAUUUUUAUUAAAAUGUUUAAAAAAGAUGUGUGCGCAAGUGUCAAAUCAGAUCGUUCGAAACACAAGAGGCAAAAGUGGCAGGGUGUAUGCUUGGGGUUUAAGCGAUUGCAAGUGUUUCUGAUCUGAGGCUAUGAUGAAAGAUCUGUAACUUGACUCCAAGCAGCAGUGUUUCUCUGCCCUAACAGAGAAGGAUCAGGUUUUUGUGUUAUGAUUCGAGGAGGAAACUCUAUUGGUUGAUGCUGAUGACCAAGUGAAAUUAUCAUCUCAUUGCCACUAGUUGGUGCCCUGGUCAAACUAGACGAGUGGGGGUAGGUUAGAGAUUCGUUUUUCCUGAUUCUCCGCACAAUAUAGUCUCUGCCAUUAAAGGGGUAAGAUCCAAUUCUUUCUGUUGCAUCUCAUCUCUUCGUUUCCCUGGAAAAUCGAGAAAUUUAUCGGCAUUCUUCUGUAUAAAUGGGUUAUUUCUAGAUAUGUCUAUCAGUAGAAUUUUGUUUUAGUUUAGGUGCCGACAUGGCGCAGCAGAGGAUUCUUACCAGUUGUGAUCGAUGUCGCAGCUUCACUCGUUGAAUUCAGCAAAAGGAUCCUUUCUAUAGGUAUUGAUAAUUUCACGCAAUUCAUUGGUUGGAAUCUUGUUUUUGGGAGUCUCAAACAGAACACAUUUCAUUCCGUAGAGAUAAAACUGCUAAAAUCAGUAAAGAAAUCAAAUCAAAACUCCAGCAAUCGGCAUCAUGCUUGAGAGCUCGGCAGUGUCUCCAACAUGGUUCUUCGCUAAGCAAAGGGAAUUGUGAGUUUAGAACUCUUUCCUUUGCAAUUUCUUUGAUGUUGUAAUGCCUUGUGCCAGUGCUUUUCUCUGGCUUUCUGAUAACCAGGUGCUGAAAAAAGAAGCAAGAGGGAAGCUAGUUAUGAUAGUUUUUACUAGAUAGAUAAAGUGUUAAGAAGAUGAGAGAGAUUGUAGAUAGUUGCAAAUCAGAUAGUGAAGAUAUUUUGUUGCCUUCUGAUAUCAUGUGCAGGCGCACACAUUGACAUAUCUAUAAACACAAUAACACACGCGUUACUGCUGCCUUAGAGAUCA